rnacentral:rRNA from 1 species
AGCGAACGCUGGCGGCAGGCUUAACACAUGCAAGUCGAGCGGGCGUAGCAAUACGUCAGCGGCAGACGGGUGAGUAACGCGUGGGAACGUACCUUUUGGUUCGGAACAACACAGGGAAACUUGUGCUAAUACCGGAUAAGCCCUUACGGGGAAAGAUUUAUCGCCGAAAGAUCGGCCCGCGUCUGAUUAGCUUGUUGGUGAGGUAACGGCUCACCAAGGCGACGAUCAGUAGCUGGUCUGAGAGGAUGAUCAGCCACAUUGGGACUGAGACACGGCUCAAACUCCUACGGGAGGCAGCAGUGGGGAAUAUUGGACAAUGGGGGAAACCCUGAUCCAGCCAUGCCGCGUGAGUGAUGAAGGCCCUAGGGUUGUAAAGCUCUUUUGUGCGGGAAGAUAAUGACGGUACCGCAAGAAUAAGCCCCGGCUAACUUCGUGCCAGCAGCCGCGGUAAU